AGGAAGAAGAAGUUGCCCUGGCCAGAUCAUAUGUUUUAACAAUUAAAAUGAUGUUUAAAUAAAAAGGUCUUUACCUGGCGCCGAAAAACCAGUAAUGACGGUUUUUACUAAUUACUAGUUUACUAAUUAGUUUACUAAUUAGUUACUAAUGUUACUAAUUGCUUAUAUAAUUCUUAUAUAAAUUAUUUGCCAUUGAAAUACUGAAGAACUGGAAACACAAAGGCGUUUGUUUGGCUAUGAAAAAAGAUAUAAAAUAUUCAGAACAUUGUUUGUUACACUGAGUGACUUUUCAGCCAAUUGAAAAGAUCACCGUCCAACCUGAUACAUUUAGAUAGUCUUCAAUGAGAUUGCAGGAAAUUCUUCAUUCUACUUUACAUGAAAGUUGCUGCUGCUGUCAUCCAUGUUAGAUCUUAUGUGAAUGUGUAUAUGCAGCAUACUUCAUUUGUGCAGUGCUUGCUUUCUAGAAGCCGCUUUGUUGUGUAUGACCAACGUGGAAGAUAACUUGGCAUACUGACUGGCACAUCGUUACAACUCAUGAUGGCUGACAAGUGGGACCUGUAACAUAAGAGCGCUUUUGGCCAGCCAGCACAGACUGAUUCAAGGAUAAUUCAUUCCCGACCACCCAUUUUUAAUGAGUUUCUCUUGCCCUUUAAUGUUGGUAGGGGAACUUUUCCCCUGGCAAAGGAAAACACCUUGGACUCCCAUGAAAAAACCUUUCUGUUGUUUCUCAGUGUCCCCAUUCUGGUUACAAAAGCUUUCCAUUGGAGAGAACAAUGCUGUCCUGGGCAAAAUGGGCCAGGAUAAAUUAGAUCUGUGAAUGUUGUCUUUAGAAUCUACAGUUGUAUAGGCACUUUCACUGGCUAGCUUUGAAAAACUCCUCUUUCUUGUACUAUUAUUGCUUGCUCGAUAUUUUAUACAAAAAGAGGGGGGAAGGUACGAGGAAAACAAUGGAUUGUGAUCAGUCAGCUAGUAAAAAUCGUCCUGCCUCUUAAGUGACAUAAUUGUUGUAUGAAUUGUUUUUCACCAGCAGGUGUCAGUAUGGGCAUUUGAGGUACUUUCUAAAUGUGAGUUGUACUUAUUUGCAUUUCCAUCUCCUCUAACAUCUCACUCUUCAAACAUUUUGGGCAAGUAAGUUCCAUUGAUUUCAGCUUUCUUUUAAGGCUAUCUCUGCACUAGUGUGUGUGAGAGAGACAAUGCAGGUAAGAACCAUUUCUGCUUUCAGUUAAAUUGAAUGGAGAAAAGUCCCCAGCGUUCACUAUAGGUGCAGAUGGAGUGGCCCCAAGGAACCAAAUUGUGAAAAAGAAAAAAUAGGUAGUCCUGGAGCCAUCCCAGCUGCAUCAUUGUGUGGCCAAUGAAGAGAACUGUUCUGUAGGAUGAGGUGAUGCCCUGAGGAUUUAAGACUUCUGGGCUGCAUCUUUUUUGAUUUUAGCUGCAAUGGUGGUAGUAAUAUUUUUAGUGCAUCCCCAAUUAGAAAGCUAUCCUAUGCAUGGGGAAGAAUGGCCUGGUGCCCUACAUAAUGAAAGGCAGCCAUCUCUUUGAAGAGCUGUCCUGUUCAAGCUUGGCUUAAAGGGAAGGGAAUGCUGAGAGGGGACUUGAAGUUGCCCAUCUACAGUUAGCACCUGGGCAGCAGACUGAGCAGCAACCUGGUCUUCCCCUCUUAAGGUGAGAUGCAUUGUAUUUACAAUUAAAUUACGGUGAUUCUUUUAAGUGUGCGCAUAUAUAUAAAGGAUGUGCAAAUUUUAUGCGAAUGUGUGUCUUUUGGUACAUUUUUCAUAGUGUAACUGAACACUCUAUAGGAGAGAAGGGCUAUCUUAAGCCUUCUUCUGCCAUGUGCUAAUUUUUGAUACAGCAUUCAAACAUACCGUUUCCCUUUCAGCAAUCUGAAGUGGUAUAGCCCAUGGGCCCUGCCAACCCAUUUCCCCAUCUCAUUAUGUAGAUCAUCCAUAGACCACCUCACAGAACAUCACAGAGUGGACUUAAGCUGGUAUAUGCCAUGCUUCUGUCCAAGCCUUCCCAGGGAGGCCUGCCUCCACUUAGAGGAAUGUAGUGCUCCCUUUCUGCCGCAGUCCACUUUUCUAAUUUCACAUGGCAAUGUCGGGCCAGUGGAGACAACUAACUCCUUGGUUCAUUUAGCUCAUAAUCAGAAUUGACAAUAUUUCUUAAGGAGUACCUUAAUUGCUACAAAAAUGCCUACAUAGAGGCUCAUGUGGGAUCAGUUGAAAACAGAAGAGCAGGUAUUAUGUCUUAGUAGUUUGACACUGGACACUAGCAGUUCUCUCCCACAUAAAUAGCAAGAGUAAGAUUGCUUUAAACCCUGGUACCAACAUGACACACUAAUAUUUUAAAUACUUGAAUGCACUUAACCACAUCACCUAGAGAGGGUAUCCUGAGAAUGAAAUUUCCUAGAAACUGGUUUCCAGUUUUCAUUUAAUGAAUGAACUCCCAUUCUGUGACCUGGUGAUAGAAAUGUGUUUGUUACUGAAUGUGCUGAAUAAACACUUUUCUUUCCCACCAUCCUGUAAAAUAAUUUCCCCUAUCUUUUUGUAUCAGUUUUUCAACCGGGGUUCUGCCCAAAAACAUUGUCAUUGAAUUUUGUGGUUCUUAAAUAAAUUACUUAAUAUUUUACUUAUUUAUUUAUUACUGGGGAAUGAGGCUAUAAUCCUGUGCAUACUUGCUUGGAAGUUACUUGGCCCUACUGAAACUAAUGGAAUUUAAUUCAGGGUAAAAAUAUGUAGGAGCCAGGUGCAGGGGAGCAAAAACUUCAAAAUUAUAUACUUCUGCAUUGACAUGAAAAUAAAAGUUUGGUAUAAGGCCAUGUUGACAUCAUUACUUCAGUGUCAGAGAAAUACUAUAAGGUAUUCAGGGCACAAACCUAUGCAUGUCUAGGCCUAAAAAAAAGUCCUACAAUUUCCAGCAUUCGGUCCAGAUAUGCAUAGGAUUUUAUCCUAGGGCUGGUUGCAGAUGUAAUAAUACUUACUGUAGUUUCAUUGUUAUCAAUGACAAAAGCUGACCUGCCCUUUGGUUGCCGUAGUAUACAAUAGGGAUGGGAAACUUGUGGCCCUGGAGAUGUUGUGAACUUCAGUUCACACCAUUCCUCACUAUUGUACUGCAACAGAUGAAAGUUGCAGUACAACUACAUCUGGAAGAUGCCAUGUUCCCCAUCCCAUGCUUGCUGUUAUGUAAGUAUAUUGAACUCAGUGGGGCUUACUCCUGAGUAGAUUCACAUAGCUUUCUCUGGAAGGUCUUUUGAAUGCCUGUAGUGUCCAUAGAGAAGAAUACUGCUUUUCUUUGAGAAUUGCUUUCAUUCAUUCAUUGGACCUGCUCCUAGAACAUUCACAACCUUGAAACUACUUCUCAUUGAAAAGGACUCUGUAUUCAUGCUCCUUUCUCACUUCCUCUCCCGUCAUAGGACCAGUUCACCCAAUUUUUAAUAUGGAAAAAACUGUGAGUAGUGGAUCAGUAAUAUGGAUCAAUGCAGUGGAUCAAUGAUACACUAUGAUAUGCAAAGUGUAACAGUGUACUUAUGCAUGUACGUAUAUUUCCUGCAAUCCUUACCCUUAAAAUUGUUGGGAAGAAUGUCAGAAACCAGAUACAUACCUAUGCUGCACAUGAUGACAUACUGCUCCAGAACAUGGAGCAACACUAGCAUGGAGGGGAAUGGACUCCUUCCACAUGCCUUGGAGCAGCUCAGAUGACCUGAGGAGCACAGGUGCUAGCUCUGAUGCAGUGGCUUCCUUGCCACAAGAGUAGUAGAGUGGACAAAGUUAGUAUGUUAAUUCAGCAUGAAUGGUUGGUGUGCUAAACAACCUAUGCAGCACAAACUGCACAAUAUUUGAACUGUAAUGACCCUAAAAGCUAAAUGAAGUUUCCUUUGAAGGACCAAUUUUAAGAUAAAAGCAAUUUCAUAAUAGUUGUCAUUCUUAUAAUUUGCCAUGCCUUGUUUGUUAGGAUCACAUAGAAAACGUGUAAUUUGUCCCAGAGGCACUUCUGAUUGCAGUUGAUAUAAUAUUAUAUAAAUGACCUUUUUAGUCUGAUUUCAUGGGUUUUGUUUUUGGGUACUUUUUUCCCUUGAAAACAGAAUGUUGCUUACAUCCCGUCUAAAGAACACUUUCAAUUGCAUGGACAAUUUGUCUGGGCCAAAGUCUUAUCUACAGAGAGUCUGAUUCAGCUUUGGGGACUUAGACUGCAUGUUCUUGUUGUUUGUUUCUUUUAAAAAUGCAUAUAUGCGCCUUGUUAAAAAACACUGUUGCCCCCAUCUAGGAACAAUACAACACUCACAUCAUUUCCUGAAAAAAUGGAAGAGUUGGAAGGCAAUUAUCUACUCACCAAACAAGCUAAAGCAACAGUUCCUGAUAUUCUUCUGAAAUACUUCAACUUCCCAAGAAUCCGGAAAAGAUAAUUCCAUGAGAUGGUGCUGUGAAUGAAGCAUGACUUUGUAGUAUUAUAAAAGCAGUCUUCAGUCUUUCAAAUAAUUCAAACUACAAUAUCUUCUUGAGUGGAAUGAAAUACUGCAACAGUGGUGAUACAAUGGACAUUCAGCAGGAACUUCCACAAUAAGGGUGAUUCGCAAAGAAGCACACCUCAGAGUCCUCAUUCCAGUUCCAAGUCUUCCAUCUUUAGAGAAGCUCCAUGAGUUAUAUCAUUUUCCCAGUAACCAAGAGCCAUUUUCUGCUGCAUUUCCUUGCAGAUGGUCAAUAGGUAGUGCAAAUGCCAGUGCAAACCCCAUUAAUUUGGGAGGCAAACCCAACAAAUGAUGGGGAAAAUAAAAAAAGGACUAUCUCAUGGCACAGAAAACUUGCUCCUGUGGGCAUAACAGCAAAUAGUUGAAGAUUAGUUCAUAGUUGAAGAAUUAAAGAUCUUCUGGAAAGCAGGGCUGAAUGAGGUAGUUUUGAGCUCUCAUCCCCACCUGAACAAAAAGAUCCACAGUGCCAAGCUGUCUUCUAUUUAGUCUCAUGGAGAGGAUUCUAGAAAGCCACCCGAGGAACCUGAAAGUGUCUUCACCACCUAUCUGGCCAUUACCUUUGAAAGGGUUUUAGAGAACUAUUCCUUGAACACUAACAUGCAGAAGGAAGAGAUUUUUACUGAAUCGCCUCAAAAAACUUAAGCCCUACUAAUUGCAGAAUACUGCUGAAGUUUGUGCAUAUGUUCCGAGGAGACCAAGUAGGUUGAUGUGAUCCACUUCAGCUUAAGAUGAAACAGCCAGAAGAUCUCAAACAUUUAGAAAGCAACCUACCCAUAUAAUUUUUUGGCUUGUGCAUGUUCUAAGAUGGUACAAUAAUAUAUGAUCUUGAUUUACUCAGAACUCUCAUAAUAUGGAACCAAAAGAACAUCUUCACUUGGAACCAAUUACUCUAAAGCAGCCAAUAACUGAGGUGAUAUAAUUGAAGAAGUGAACUUACUGACAAAGUUAUAGCAGUAAAUAAGGGCAAACAGGACAGCGUGGGCACACAGAUAUGUUUCACUUGAAUCUGCACUCCAGAUUAAAAGGAAGUGGUGCUUUCCAAGGACACAUGUCCAUACUGCAUUGUGAUCUACAGUGCCACACUGGGAGCAUGAAAUGCUGACCUGUGUUGUGAAUCUCCACUAAGUGGGUACAAGGAGAGCGUACACACACACACACACACACACACACAUUAUGGGAUUGUGCUUUUGGACUGUUAUUGCCAUCUGUUAGACUGUCAAGUGCAUGUCUUGUGGAUGGCAAAACUAUGUCAUUUUAUUCAACAACUUUCCACUCCCACCCCUGUACAAGAGGUACAGAUCAUUGAUGUAAUUGGGAUAGAAGCUCACAGAUAGCAGCAUCACUUUUUCCCUCUACUGAGAUUACAAUAUCCUUCCUAACCAAUGACAAUUGAGCUGUCAUGAAAAUUACAUCAUAUUAUCUCUCCAGAGAGACCAGCAUUUCAGUCAAAGGACAGCUGUCAAAACAUACUUGACUACGAAAUUCAGAAGGUUUCUAAGAGCAUGUGCAUUAGUUUGUUUUCCUUUGAAUAGUCUACAUUUUAGGACAAAUUAAGAGCAGUAUAUAAAUUGAAAUGGUUCAUAGAAUUGGCUUAGAAUUUCUUAGAUGUCAACAUCAAAAAUAAUUCAUUUACAUGAAUCUGACCGAACACACUUGA